GCCGGGUCGGGAAGGUCACGGAGGGCAGGGCGCGCAGGGUUUCCUUGGUGCGGUCCUCGCGCCGCGCGUCCCCGUCGACGGCCGGGCCUCGCAGUGGUGUACAAUACCAACACAUACAUCCUCGAAUUAAUCUAUUACUAUUUAGAAGAGAAUCUCAGAAGCUACUUCCGUUGGCCAAAGGGACGCCUGGAUGCCUCAGCAGUUGAGCAUCUCCCUUGGGCUCGGCAUGAUCCUGGGAUCUGGGAUCGAGUCCAGCAUUUGGCUCCUUGUGAGGAUCCUGCUUCUCCCUCUACCUAUGUCUCUGUCUCUGUCUCUCUCUCUGUGUGUCUCAUGAAUAAAUAAAUAAAUCUUUUUUUUAAAUCCA